AUACGGAGGGUGCAAGCGUUGUUCGGAUUUAUUGGGUUUAAAGGGUGUGUAGGCGGUGUAUUAAGUCAGUGGUGAAAGCCUGCGGCUCAACCGUAGAACUGCCAUUGAUACUGACACACUUGAGUAUGGACGAGGUAGGCGGAAUUUAUGGUGUAGCGGUGAAAUGCAUAGAUACCAUAAAGAACACCGAUAGCGAAGGCAGCUUACUAGGCCAUAACUGACGCUGAGGCACGAAAGCGUGGGGAGCGAACAGGAUUAGAUACCCUAGUAGUCC
rnacentral:rRNA from 1 species